GGCGGACGGGUUAGUAACGCGUUGGGAACGUGCCCUUUUCUACGGAAUAGCCUCUGGAAACGGAGAGUAAUACCGUAUACGCCCUUUGGGGGAAAGAUUUAUCGGAGAAGGAUCGGCCCGCGUUAGAUUAGGUAGUUGGUGGGGUAACGGCCUACCAAGCCUACGAUCUAUAGCUGGUUUUAGAGGAUGAUCAGCAACACUGGGACUGAGACACGGCCCAGACUCCUACGGGAGGCAGCAGUGGGGAAUCUUAGACAAUGGGGGCAACCCUGAUCUAGCCAUGCCGCGUGAGUGAUGAAGGCCUUAGGGUCGUAAAGCUCUUUCGCCUGUGAUGAUAAUGACAGUAGCAGGUAAAGAAACCCCGGCUAACUCCGUGCCAGCAGCCGCGGUAAUACGGAGGGGGUUAGCGUUGUUCGGAAUUACUGGGCGUAAAGCGCGC
rnacentral:rRNA from 1 species